GACUUUAAAAGCAUGCCCUAUUAUCCAUACAAGAAACUUAAAUACAAAAUUGUACAUGAUACACAAUUUAGUUUGCAUGAAUCCAUUUAUAUUGAUCAUCAAAUAACUUGAAUUGCAAAAUGAAAGCUCACUUCUACACCUUUUCCAGUCCAGCAAUCCAUGCUCAUAUAAUUGAUAGCCUCCUUAACCUGUGAUAUGACACCAAAAAAUUCACUCAUCAAGCCUCUUAACUAAAAGAAUAUUACAAGAGCAUGUACAACUGUAACACUUCGGACCCCAUUUUACCUAUUUACUGGGUAUUCUACAAGUUACUGAGGAAUUUAAUCGUGCUCGGUAACUUAGUAAGUUAGCGUUCAAGUUUAUUUUUGAGUUUUUCUUGAAAUGUCAAUUCCUCUGUUAAGGUCUCGAUGUUGUAGUUUGUGUGGACACGAGUUCACCGGUGUUUUAGAAUUAUUUUUCGGACAUUCGAGGUAUUUUCUACGUUUUGUCGAAGGUUUGGUAUUAGAAUUGAUUUUUUGAAAUUAGAGUAUAGCUGUUAACCUGGGCCGUUUGAUCAGUUAGGGUUUUGAUCUUGACUGUUAAUUCAAGUUUAAAAAGAAGGGAAGUGUUGACCGAGUCAAGAAGCCACACUCGGGCGUUGACCCGAGCUCCAGCCUCUCUCUCCUCUCUCCGGCUGCAUCAGUCAACCCGGCGCAUCAUCGCCGAUUCCGGCCACCACUCGCCGCCACAUUGGUCUCAAAAUGACCACCUCCUUCUCCUCUUCCAAACCCAACCCUCCAUUCCAGCUAGCAUCCACACAGGGAAGAGAUCGAAGUGGAAGAACACAACUGUGUUCAUCAGUUUUCGAUAGAAACCGGCGACAACUGCGACUCUGGUUUGAGCUCCGGUCAUUGAUCCACCUAGUGACGGUGAGUCCCUUCCUCCUCUCUUCCUUUUGCACAGUCCAGUGUUUCUUUUCUUAAUUUUCUGGGUUUCAAGUUCUUAGCUCCGGCGACCUGUGUUCGACGGUUUCCGGUGAGUGCUUAGGGUUUUGGUCGGUCCUCGAUGCUCUGUGUGUUGUCGAGUUGGACCUUGGAGGAGUUGCAGGUCGAUCCGGAUUGAGGCAGAGGUCGGGUGUGUUUGGGCUGAGAGGAAUCGAAGUGGUGUGAUGCUAAUUAGGUGAAGGUGGCGACUAAGGCAGCAACUGGGGAUGUUUGGAGGUCCUGCUUGUUGAGUCCGGACCAGGAGAGUUCUUGGGCUAGUGCUUGAGAUCGAUGGAAGGUAAUCUCUAUCUCCUUUGAUGUUAUAUAGCUGCUGUAUUGAUUUUCGGAUUGAUUGGGUGCAUUUUUGGUGUUGCAAGUCGAUAACUUGGUGAUUUGGAGUUUACGGGGAGGCUAUGACAAAAUUCCGGCAAGUUGCCGGAAUCUGGUGAGUAUUUCUGGCAAGUCGCCGGAAUCCCUACAGCAGUUCCGGCAGAAUCUGUGGAGGUAGCUUGUCGACUUUCCUUUUUCGUUUAAGUUGUAGUUUACAGUUUAGGAAAACCUGCCAUAUUUAGAAAGUUUCUAUUUUUGGAAACUUUCCAUUUAUGGAAACCCUUUUUGGGUGCCCUUAAUAAUUUUUGGUGUGAAGUUGUGUAGCGAGGAAAUGAAUAAGGAUUGUAUAUAUGGGUUAAGAAACAUUUGUAAUUGGGCUGUGAUUGAGGAUUUCACGGAUUGAGAAAAUUGGUCAUUGAGGGAGGGAUUUAGUGAAAAGGUUUGUUCUUAUUUAAGAACUAAUUGAUUCCAAGUGAAGCAAAUAAUUGAAUUAUUAAAAUGUUUGUUGGAAUUAAAUUGGAUGGUUAAUAGUUAAUCAAGGUAACCUGAAUUAUUAGACGUGAAUUGUUGUCAAGAAAUGAAGCAUCCAUAUCCCAAAGUGGAGCGUGAUUGGUUAAGGGAUGUCACACCCCGGCUCUUAAGUUAUUUUACGGUUAUUUACUUUGGUAUUAUUUUGGUCUUUUACUGUGUUAAGUAACCGUUUACCACUUAAGGACCCUAGAGUUGACUUUUUCUUCCGUUUGGAAUUUGGGAAAACUUUCUUCAUGAAAGUCGUCGAGGAGGAUGUUAUUACGAGUUCGUAGACAUGCUAUGAGUUAAAAUCGGAGUUAGCAUGAAAAAGUUAUUAUUUAAAAGAGUAAAUUGUGAGAUGGUAAAAAGGGGUAUUUUUAGUGGGUAUAAUUUUUGGGUUUAAGUGUUAUGGACCUGGUGUGAGUAGCCCACACACACUCCCUCACUCUCUCUCUCUCUCCCUUCCCUCUUCUCUCCCCGAGCCCCCGAGCCCCGAGCCCUCUCUUUUUUGCACUUCCCCAGCGUGGCCUGCCGCCGUCCGGCCAGCCACCAGCCGCCACUCCACGCCAGUUCGGACCCCCGCCACCUCCUCUAUCUCCCCAGCCUAGUGCCCGAGCCUCUAACCCGCCGGAGAGGAGGAAAACCCGCCGGAGACUCCGGGAAGCUUUUCGGCGGAAAUCCCACUUCCGGCCGCCAUAGGUCAAAAUCUUUGGCUCAUCUUGUAGCUCUCAUCAAGGUGAGUAAUCUCUCAAAAGGAAUUAGUUUAUCUCGUUGUUGUUAUGGAGAAAUGUAUAAUUGAAGUUUUAGGGAUUUAUGGAUGUUUUGGUUCGAUUACCCUAGUUAGGCUCAGAAAUGGACUAAGUGCUAGUUAUGAAUGUUGUUGAGCAUGAUGAGAGGAAUAUUCUGUGAAAAUUUGAGAAGCAUUGGCCCUCACCGGAAUACGGCUGCCGGCCGGCGCCGCCGCCCUUUAGGGGUAGUUUUUCAUGCUUUUUGGGUUGGUUUGAAUAAGAGGAGUUUAAUGAAGUAUAGUUGGGAAUUUUUAGAGGAGAUUCGCUAAGGUUUGGGAUUUAUUAAUGAUUAAGGAUUUAGGUGGUUAUUCGAAUGGAAAUCCAGCAGUUAGUUUAGCAGGUUUUAAAGUCUACAAAGGUUAAAUUAUGGCUUUCGGUAAGUGCGGAGUAAUGUAAGCCUUAUUAGGUAAUAAGUGGAGAAGUUGGGCAAGAGAAAUGAAAAUUAUAGGCUUCCUCUCUCUUUUGGAAAUUUUAUUAAAGUUGUAUCCUAGUAUGGAGGUUUAAUGAUUAUUUUAUUGUUCAGGACGUGAGGAGGAUCAUUUGGAGGAAGCCUCGGGCCGUCGGCAAGCAUAGCCGAGCACAGUGAGUGGACCUUUGAUUUUAAUAUUAUGCAUGCGCUAAAGUUAUUUUAUUUCAAAGGCAUUUGGAGAUAUAAUAUUUUUGUUGGAUUAUUGAGUUCCACUUAUUUUUCCGGAACUCUCUUGCUAAUUUUAGUUGACACGUGGGACGUGUCAAGUGAUUUAUAUUAUUUCCAUGUACAGUUGGGAACUGUACUGUGCGCUAUGAGUUUAUUAUAAUUUAUUUAGGGAAGUGUGGAUCUUUUUAUUUUAAUAUUGUACUUCACCAUAAAAGGGUUGAUAUAUAGAUUAUUGCUAGCUAACCUUAUUAGCGGUCCUUAUCAUAUGUGAGUCGCUAUUAUAGUCUUAUUAGCGGUUCUCAUCGUAUGUGAGUAGAGCGCUUAGCGUGGGACGCUAUUAUAGCCUAGAAGGCAACCCAUCGGUAUAUAUAUAUAUAUAUUUAUUGUUAGCUAGCCAUUAUUUAGCGGUCCUCAUCAUAUGAGAGUUGAGCGUUUAGCGUGGGGCGCUAUUAUAGCCUUACUAGCGGUCCUUAUCAUAUGUGAGUAGAGCGCUUAGCGUGGGACGCUAUUAUAGCCUUGGAGACUCAUUGUUAUAUUCUUAUUGAUUUAUUGGGAACCAAUGAGAUUGGUUCAUUAGUUUUGUCUACAAUUAUUUUCGGAAAGAUUUCCAAGAAUGGCAUGCAUAAAUAUUUUCUCAAUGGAAAAUAUGGGAAAAACAUUAAAUUGAUUUCAGGCUCUAUCAUUAAGUCAGUAUUUUUAUUGUUUAUUUUUUGUCCGCUCACAACGUUUUAAAUGCUUUCCCUGGGCCUUUCGUUUUAAAUGCCCAAUCUGCAGAGUUCUGUUCGACGAGGGUAGGAGACGAGUCAUAUUUCCCACCUCAUCCAGUUUUCUCUCAUAGGUUACUAGUCAACCUACCUAUGUAUGUCCUUCUUUCCUAAUAGAUGCUCUGAAUAACCAUGGGCUGUUUUAAGUGAUAUUAAUAUUGUUGUUGUUGUUGUUGUUGGGUGUUAAGAGCUUGUGACUCCUCCUAGGAGUGUUGAAAAUGGUUUAUUUGGUAUGUUUAUGAGAGAUUAAAUUCAUGAAAUUAUUUUGAUUUAUUAUUUUAGUUGAUGUGGUGGAUGUUUAUUUGGAGGAGCGGAUGGCUCCAGAAGAUGUGGAUUAAAUUGUUUUAGAAGUGUGUGGGUUUUGAUGAUUUUUCUUUCAGGUAAGGUUACUCAUUUUCAAGGGAGGUUAUGCCAAAAUUUUGGUAGAAUUUCCCUUGAGGUGGGUCCCGCAGGGUUUAUUCCGGAUUUCAAGGGAAAAUCCGGAGUAGGUCCUGACAAGGGAGUAUUUGGGAAUAGACAAUGUAAUUUUAUUUAGGGACCAAUCUUAAGUCUUGGACUGGACUAUUGGUAACUAUUCUCUGGAUAACUAUUGAUAACUAUUAAGGCUAAAGAUAACUGUUCUCUGGAAGUAGUUGAGAUUUUUAACUGACGGUUUGGGUUAAUUGUUUAAUUAAAGGACUCAAGUAUGUGCCUAUAGACGUAAAGGCUCGCCGUAGGAAGUUGACGGGCAUUUGACUUGGGAUGCCUCUGCUUGGUAAUUAAAUAACCGAAUCACUGUGAGUGAACAUUUCUUUUAUAUUAACUGCAUGCAGAGAUUUAUUUUAAAGGAAUGAUUUAAUUGGUCAUUAAUUUGUGGAAUUUGUUUUCCUCUCGUGAGUUAUUUUCUACGAAGUUAUUUUCGGAGGUAAAUGUUCUUAUUUUAUUUAUUAACUUCACUAUUUUGAGAAUUUCCGAAAAUGAGAUUUUCGGUAUAUAUAUAUGUAUAUUUAUGAGGAGAGUAUGUAUAUAAAUGCUAGCUAGCCAUAUGUGUCUAUCCAUCUUAAUGUCGUACUAUAUAACCGCAUUAUGGUGUGACGUGAGCGUUAGACGCGAGCGUAGUAGCCCUAUAUGAGUGUCUAAUUCAUAUAGGGGGUAUGGACACAUAUUUGUACACUCGUCCGUCCACCUUAAUGGCGUAGUGUAGCACCGCAUUAAGGCGUGACAUGAGCGUUAGACGCAAGCGUAGUAGCCUUGUAUGAAUUCCUAUUUUCCUUAUAUUUCCUUCAUAGAAUUCAUACAAAGAGUAUGAACGUGUGUAGAUACAUACAUAUUAUCUCUAUUAAUUAAGGCAAUUUACUUUAUAAAACUGUUAUUUGGUUAAAUUUUCAAAAAUCCUUAAAAUGCCUUUCCUUGAUUAAACUGUGCUAAUAAGAAAAUUGUAUAUUUCAUGGACAAAAUGGUAAAAAGAAAAAACAGAAACAAAAUGUAAAUUGGAUAAUUUAAGAAGAUAACUGUUUGGGGUAAAAGUGGAUAAUUUCCACAGUAUGAAAAACUGUCGUUUGAAAGAAAAUGUGGUCAUUCAUGGGAGUUCUCAGUAGAGAAAUAGUUUCAUCCCUCUCUUUAUCUUAUCAGUUUAUACAGAAGAAGAACAAAUCCAGAAAGAGGCAACACUUGAAAGAGUAAACAAAGAAUUCGGGUAUGUUUUUGUACAAUUGUUCAUUGGAUUUAGAUUUGAUUUAGUUUUGUUUCAUGUUGAUAAAGUUACAGUUCGAACUCGAAGGAUGGUACUUUAUGCAGGAGGGGAUCACCAAGUUUAAGAAGAUUUUAAAGGGAUUGCUAGAGGCUCAGUUCAAUUUAGAAGACUACAUGAUGCUUAUCUACAUGUAUCCUUUAUUGGUAGUUUGUAUUUGUUACUUCAGAUACUACAGUUGUAUGACUGUGUUUUUUUUUAUUUUUUAUUUUUUUCAUUUGGUACCAAGUUUGAUUUUGUUUUUUCUCUUUGAUUUUUGGAUAAUUAGGUUAUUGAACUCAGAUUCCAUGUACGUUCCUGCAAAUUUGAUGUCUCAAUAUGUGUUCUUGGCUUUGCAAUUGCACAACUGCUAUCUACUUUCUACUGUAGUUUUUUUUUUCUGAAUUUUGUAGGUAUAUAUGUGGAAGAGAUGGUUAACUUCUUUUUUGUCCAGGUAACUUUUCUUCUCCUUUUCUCUUCUCCAUUGUCAAAUUUUGUUUCCCAUAUGAUAUCAAAAAUAUGAUAUCUAUUAGUUUGGUUCUUUUUUUACUUUUGAAACGGUUGCUCUCCCAAACAGAUCUCAAAUAUUGCAAUUGUGGUGAAACUUUCGAUAAUAAACAAGUUCAUGUAAUUUUUCAUAAAGAAAGAAAUAGAUUCAUGUAUGUAUCCUUGAUUACUGUACAAACAAACUACUUUCUUUCCUCCAUGAUAACUGUAACUUUUUAAAUGCAUCUUUCUAAGUUCUAAAUUCUUGGUUGGUUCAUCAAGAUUCUAGAUUCCUUGGAUUUCCUACAAGAGAAGGCUAUUUUGGUUUGUCUCCCGUUCUGUCUAAAGAUAUACUCAUAUCAGAAUUGUUUGUUGUUUAUUUGUUUUUUUGUUUUUUGUAGACUGUGUCUUCAGAACUUGCAAGAUAUGCUAAUUGAUCACCAAGUUACUUAUAGUUCCUGAAGGAGCGAGAAAGAGAGAGGACGGAGAGAGGUAUAGAAGUAGACCUCAUUUGCUUUUCUUAAAGCAUCUAUGGAGGCAAUGCAUCAUUAUAAAAAGCUCAAUUAUGAUCAAAAUGAAGAUCAUUUACUUUCGAUUAUUCAUUGUGCAAAAGUAAAAAAAAGUGUGAUUGCAAUGCUGAAGCCAAAUGAAGACUGAGGAACGUAGAGAAGAGAAGUAAAUAUAUAUCUAUUAGGCUAUGAAAUGGAUGUUGUCUAAUUAAGCAAAUGAAGACAGAAACGUGGAGAAGAAGAGAGAAGCGAAUAUUUGUUAGGCUAUGAAAUAAACGCUGUCGAUUUAUUUUUAUCAAAUUGGCUAUCAAUUAUUUCACUACGAAACGUUUGCCAUUGAUUGUUUUUGAUCUUUAAUAUUUUCUGAUACACCCCGAACCUAGUAAUUAUUUUUUUAUAUUGUGAUUUCCAGUUUAGUGGUAGCUAAUCAAUUCGGAAAUUUAUUCCGGUUAUUUUUGAUAGAGGUGGUUUAUUCGAGUUCAUGGAUUUUUUUUUAGUUACCUGAAUAGGAGUUCGUAAUUGGAGGGUAGCUAAAAUAAUAAUAGAGUCCAUUUUUGGGCUAGGUUUUUAAGUGGGACUUGUCUUAUUUGAUAGAGAAAGAAAAACAGAAAAGUUAGCCUCUCAUCUCUCUCUCCCCGACCUCCUGAGGCCGUCCGACUCUCCUCAACGGAAAGCCGCUGUCCAGCCACGCCUAGUCGCCGCGCCAGUCUCGUACGGCAGCUGGGACACUGCUCGUCCUUCCUAGGGUGGUGGCCGUCCUCCUCUCUCCGGCAGCAGCUCACGGGAGCGCUCUCAAGCCGCCGGUUUUGUGGAGCCGGAACUGUUUUCUCCGGCCACCGAUUCUAACGAUCCUUGGGGGGUUUUAUAGCUCUUCUCUAGACCAUUCAACCAUUUCAAGGUGAUAGAACAAUUCGGGGUGUAUAGAGCAAAUCGGUUUUAGUGUGUCCUUGAGCUUUAGAGGUAUUUUCCGGCCAACUCUUUAGUUUCUGGGUUUAAUACUAGUUAUGUUUGUUGUUGUGCAUAUGGAGAGGAAGAGUUUGGCUUAUGUCUUGUUAGUUUUGGUUGAAGUUGAUUAAGGUGGUGGUGGUUGACCGCCGCUGCCAGCGGUUGACCGCCACUGCCGGUGACUGCUGCCGGUUUUGGUGGUGGUUUUGAGUAAUUUUGGAUGAUUUCUAGAAGGGAUAAAUGUUGUUGUAUUGUAUGGUGAUUUUUGGCGAAGAGUGCUUGGAAAUUGGGAUAGUUUUGAUGGCUCCAUGGGUGAGAGAUGAGUGGUAUUGAAGUAUUAGAAAUUUUGGUGAGUGUUAGUAGGAAUUUAGGAAAGUUUAAGUUGAUUUUGGUGAAAGAGUAGAGGUGAGCCUCAUCCUUGGGAAUUUCCAUAUUUGUGCUCAAGUGUUAGAACGUUGAGGAAAAAUUGGAGACAGUUAGUAAAAAUGGUUGGAGUUCUCUUUAGUUUUUGGAGAGUGUAGAGUGAGGGUAGAUGGCUUUGCCCUAUUUUGUUAAUUUGAUAUUCUUGUAUUAUUUUUGUCUCGGACCUUAAAUCUCGUUUUGUACAGGACGAGAGGAGACACCACGUGAGGAGGGCUCUGACCGACGUCAGGCUUAGCCGUCAAUAUUGUGAGUGGAUAUUUUAUUUUAUUUUUAAAAGGGAUAUGCAUGCAUGGUUUGUUUAGAAAAUUAUUCCCUCUAUGAAAUGAUCUUAAGAAAAUGAUUUGAGUUAUUUUCUUUAAAGCAUGUUAACGUGUGAGACACAUUGAAUUUAAGUAAUCAUCUUGCUCUUGGAAUAAUUAUGAUAUCAAGCUAGCAUGUUGUUCCACCUUUCGAGGUGAUAUGGUUACCACGUUUCAAGUGGGGUCAUGCAAGCCCUUUCCAUCCUAGUGGUGAUGUGAUGUUGCAGGUGGCAUCACGCAAGCCCUGUGCCCUAUCCGUCAACUCGACGUGAAGGUACAUGGAGUAUGAGAGUACUAUGCCUGGGAGGCAACCGAGUCUGGGAGACUCACUUAUAUGGCCAUAUAAGUUAAUUUAUUGAGUUGUUAAUUUGACUAGUGGGGUUAGUCCACUAUUUUAGAAAGUGUCGUAUGUGAGGAAUUUAAUUAUUUUUCUUAUUAAAUUAUGACUAGCGGGGCUAGCGUCAAUUUUUGAUGAGCUCAUAAAAUUUGCAUGCAUGGUAAUUCUUAAAUUACGUAUAAGUGGAAAAGCAUAUAAAAAUUUGAUUUAGUAUCUUUAUGUUCUUAGAUACUUAUUAAUUAGUUUAUUUUUUGUCCACUCACGUUAACGUUUGUUUUUAAAUGCUUUUCCCUGGGCUUUUUGUUUUCAACUGCCCAGACUGCAGAGCUCCUGUUCGGUCUCCCUAGGAGUUGAGGCAUAGUUUUCCCGCUGCUCCUUGCUGAUCAUAGGUUACAUGUUAACCUAUGCAUAGUUGUUUUAUUUUCCUUCCUUAGUGCUCUGAGAACCAUGAGAUUAUGUAAAUUAAGUGGAAGUGUUUGCUUUAGGUCUAUGACUCAAAGUAGAGAGUUUAAGCUUGGGUGAUGUUCAUGUUAAUUAAUACAGUUGGAUACUUGAUUUGGUUGUUUAAGUAUUGAUAUAACUUGGUUCUUGUUGUGGGGAGUGAAGGACUCCAGGAGUGGUGAUUGUUGAUUAUAGUUGAAGUGUUCUUGGUUCUUUUCUCGCAGGUUGGGUUGUCCAUUUUUAGGGGAGAUUAUGCCAAAAUUUCGGUAUAAUCUCUUUUAAGAGUGGACCCCGCAAGACUUGUCUGUUUUACUGUGUGUUUUUGGGGCGGGUCUUGUUAGUUGGUAUCAGAGCAUUAGGUUCCUCUUCCUAUUGAAAUAGUGGCGUCUAGUUUAAUACUAGAUUGUUCAUGUGUAUAUUACUAAUCUAUAUUUAUCUCAGGUACUAUGCCUCCUAGACGCCGAACACAGAGAGCUCCUCCUGUGGGGGAUGACAUGAGUGCACAAGUGGGUAUGCUGGGAGCGUUUGAGCAGAUUGUUAAUCAGUUUGCUGCAACAAUGAACCCUCAGCCUCCGCCUGACUUUAGCAUUAAGAAAACCAAGGAAAAUGGUGCUGAGAAGUUUUCUACAGCCAAGGAUUCCAUUGAGGCCCAGGAGUGGAUUGAGACUAUGGAGAGAGUGUUUACUAGGAUGAGUGUUCCUGAAGAUCGUAAGGUAUUUGUGGCAGUGCAAUGGUUGCACGGUCCUGCAUGGCAUUGGUGGGUCGGUAUUACUAGAGAUUAUGGGGAUGCUCCUCAGAUGACUUGGGAUGAGUUCAAGGCCCAUUUCAAUGAUCGUUACUGUAGUCGAGCCCAUCUCCAUAGGAUGCAGGAUCAGUUUAUGAAUUUGCAGAAAGGAGAUAUGUCAGUCUUGGAGUUUGAGCAGUAUUUCCUUGCUAGAGCUCAUCAUGUUCCUGACUUGGUAAGGGACGAGCAUGAUAAGAUAUACAGGUUUGUUCGGGGACUUGGGGGUGAGUAUGAGGAAUAGAUGCAAGCAGUGUUGUAUCCGAAAUUUAGUGAUGCAGUUGGGGCAGCUUUAAAUAUUGAGACCUCACAGAUGGGUAGCCGACCCCGAGACUUUGGUGGCCCUAGUCAGGGGCCAUCAAAGAGAGCAGGAUCUACAUCUGGUUCCGGAUCUUCUGCGGGUAGUGGACGUAGUAGUAGCUCUGGUCAUUCAGCCCGACCUAGACUCAGAGGUAGCCAGAGAUUUGCUGGGGGAUCUGCAGGCAGACGCCCCUUUAGUCAGUUUAGGGGUGGUAUGAGUGGUAGUAGUGGAGGCCACAAUAGUCAGUCAGGUCAGUCUGGACAGUAUCAACCAGUUGGGUGUUUCGAGUGUGGCGAGCCAGGUCACUUUAAGAGAGAUUGUCCCCGUUUGGCUCAGGGGGUCGCACCUACAUUUUAUCAAACUGCAGGUCAGACUUCAGUUGGCGCUUCUAGCAGUGGCUCACGUGCUAGUUCAGCAGCUAGAGGCGGUCCCCAGCAGGGUAGAGGUCAGAGAGGACGUCCUACCACUCAGGCUAGAGUUCAUGCCAUGACAUUUCAGGAGGGUCGUACCUCGCCCGAGGUUAUCAUUGGUAGGUUGUUUAUUUUUGGCCAACCUGCAUUUACUUUGAUUGAUCCGGGAGCUACCCAUUCCUUUAUGUCUAGUAGAUUUGCACUUCAUGCAAAUGUGCUUUCAUCUCCUCUCCCGGGGGAGUGGUACGUGUCUUUGCCUUCGGGUGAUGUGUAUAAAAUUGAUUGGGUAUUUAGGUCUUGUGAAGUUCUGGUUGAGGGGUAUAACUUGGAGGCAAAUUUAAUUCCGUUAGAGAUGGUUGAUUUUGAUGUGAUUUUGGGGAUGGAUUUCUUAGAGGCACUGAUACACCCCGAACCUAGUAAUUAUUUUUAUGUUGUAAUUUCCGAUUUAAUGGUAGCUAAUCAAUUCAGAAAUUUAUUCUGUUAUUUUGAUAGGGGUGGUGUAAACGAACUCGUAGACUCUUAAUUACCCGUUUGGUAGUUCGUAUGUGUAAGUGUUGUAGGAAAUAAUAAAGUUACUAAUAUUGGGCUUAGGCAUUUAAGGGAGACUUGCCAUUUAGGAAGGGAAAAGUAAAAAUCAGAAAAAAAAAUACAACCCUCUCCACUUCUCUCUCUCCUCGAGCCGAGCCCGACCCCGACCCGUCCGGUUCACCUCGACGGACCGCCGCCGUCCGGCCACACCAGACCUCCGCGCCGGUUCCGUUCAGCAGCUGGGACCUCGGUCGACCUUCCUAGGGUAGCAGCUAACCCCAUCUCGCCGGUGUUAGGGCGCCGGAGGCCCUAGAAGAAGCUGUGUCACCGUGUCUUCUUCUUGCCGGAAUUCCUUCCUCCGGCCAUCAAUCGGGGAACUAAAGGUAGGGUUUUGAUGCCCUCUUGCUGGUUAUUCUUUCCCCUAAAGGUAGGAGAUCGAUUGGGUGUAGAUAGCAAAUCGGGGGUUUUGUGUUCUAGGGCUUGUGAAGUGUUUUCCGGCCAAACCUUUGAUUUGUGGGUUUUGUGUUAGUUAGAAUUGUUGUUAAGCUUGAUGAGAGGAAGAGUUUGGGGUAUGCUUUGAAAUUUUGCUCGGAAUUGUGGGAGAGAUGGUGGUUGACUGCCACUGCCGGCAGUUGACCGCCACUGCUGGUGGUUGCUGCCAUUUAUGGUGGUGGUUGUGAAGAGUUUUGUUGGAUUUUUCUAGAAGGGUAUUAAGUUGUUAUAGUGUAAAAGGAUUUUUGGUGAAGAGUGCUUGGAAAUUGGAAAUUAGGAAAGUUUAAGUUGAUUUUGGUGAAAGAAUAGAGGUGAGCCGCAUCCUUGGGAAUUUCCAUAUUUGUGCUUAAGUGUUAGAACGUUGAGGAAAAAUUGGAGACGGUUAGUAAAAAUGGUUGGAGUUCUCCUUAGUUUUUGGAGAGUGUAGAGUGAGGGUAGAUGGCUUUGCCCUAUUUUGUUAAUUUGAUAUUCUUGUAUUAUUUUUGUCUCGGACCUUAAAUCUCAUUUUGUACAGGACGAGAGGAGACACCACGUGAGGAGGGCUCUGACCGACGUCAGGCUUAGCCGUCAAUAUUGUGAGUGGACACUUUGUUUUUAAUGGAAUAUGCAUGCAUGAUUGGAGAUUUGAAAUAAGUGGAUUAUUUGGUUUAAUGAUUACUUUGAGCAUCUUAACGUGUGGGACACGUUAUUAAAUUUAAUUUAUUUCUUUUCUCAUGGAAUUUUCCGUGUGCGGUUGGGAAUCGUACUUAUGUUUUAAAGAUGAGUUUCGGGGAAACUCCCAUGAAAUUAUAUUUUUCUUUCAUAUGCUAUAUUUGUGUGAUUAUAUGAUGUCCAUGCUAGUAUGUCGUUCCACCUUUCGAGGUGAUGUGACUUCCACGUUUCAAGUGGGGUCACGCAAGCCCUUUCCAUCCUAGUGGUAAUGUGAUGUUGCCGGCGGCAUCACGCAAGCCCUGUACCCUAUCCGUCAACUCGACGUGAAGGUACAGGGAGUAUGGGAGUACUAUGCCUGGGAGGCAAUCGAGUCUGGGAGACUCACUUAUAUGGCCAUAUAGAAUAUUUUUCUUGAGUUGUUAAUUUGACUAGCGGGGCUAGUCCAUCAUCUUGGAAGUUUCUUAUAUGAGGAAUCCGUUUAUUUUCUUAUUGCUUUAUGACUAGCGGGGUUAUGGUGAAUGUUGUUGAGAUUAUAAUAUUUGCAUGCAUAUAAAUUCUUAAUUACGUAUAAAUGGAAAAGCAUAUAAAAAGUGAUUUUGUAUUAUUUUAUUCUUGGAUGCAUAUUAAUUAGUUUACUUUCCGUCCACUCACGCUAAUGUUUUUAAAUGCUUUUCCCUGGGCUCUUUGUUUUCAAAUGCCCAGAUUGCAGAGCUCCUGUUCGGUUUCCCUAGGAAUUGAGGCAUAGUUUUCCCGCUGCUCCUUGCUGAUCGUAGGUUACCUGUUAAUCUAUGUGUAGUUGUUUUAUUUUCCUCCCUUAGUGCUCUGAGAACCAUGGGAUGAUGUAAAUUAAGUUGAAGUGUUUUUCUUUAGGACUAUGUCUCAAGUAGAGAGUUUAAUCUUGGUUGAUGUUCAUGUUAAUUAAUGUAGUUGAGAAUUUGGUUUGGUUGUUAAGUACUGCUAUGACUUUGGUUCUUGUUAUGGGGAGUGAAGGACUCCUGGAGUGGUGGUUGACGAUUAUAGUUGAAGUGUUCAGUUUCAUUACAGGAUGGGUUGUCCAUUUUUAGGGGAGGUUAUGCCGAAAUUUUGGUAUAAUCUCUUUUAAGAGUGGACCCCGCAAGACUUGCCUGUUUUACUAGGUGUUUUCGGGGUGGGUCUUGUCAGGCACAUCAGGCUUUGGUUGAUUGUUUCCAGAAAACUGUAGUGUUCCGAAGUCCGGGAAAGCCAGAGAUUACAUUUUGUGGAGAGCGAAAUGUUUUGCCAUCUUGCUUGAUUUCAGCAGAAACAGCGGGAAAAUUGCUGAGUAGGGGUUGUCAGGCAUAUUUGGCCCAAGUUGUGGAUACUCGUAUGGGAGUUCUUAAGGUUGAAGACAUUCCUGUAGUUAAAGAGUUCCCUAAUGUUUUUCCUGAGGAGUUACCUGGUUUACCUCCUACAAGGGAGAUAGAGUUUACCAUCGAAUUACUUCCUGGAACAGCCCCUAUUUCUCAAGCACCCUACAGGAUGGCCCCGGCGGAAUUGAAGGAGUUGAAGGUCCAAUUGCAGGAGUUAGUGGACAAGGGUUUCAUAAGGCCUAGUAUGUCUCCUUGGGGUGCCCCAAUAUUGUUCGUUAGGAAGAAGGAUGGUAGUAUGAGACUGUGCGUUGAUUAUAGGAAGUUGAAUCAAGUUACUGUGAAAAAUAAGUAUCCUUUGCCCCGCAUAGAUGAUUUGUUUGAUCAGUUGAGGGGUGCUAAAGUCUUUUCCAAGAUUGACUUGAGGUCCGGGUAUCACCAGUUGCGGAUUAGAGACUCUGACAUAGCCAAGACUGCCUUUCGGUCACGCUAUGGUCACUAUGAGUUUGUGGUGAUGCCGUUUGGGUUGACAAAUGCACCCGCUGCUUUCAUGGAUUUGAUGAAAAUAUAGGGUGUUUCGCCCAUAUCUAGACCGUUUUGUCAUUGUGUUCAUUGAUGAUAUUCUGAUUUAUUCAAAGAGUGAGAAGUUACACUCUAAACAUUUGAGUCUGGUGCUUCAGACUUUGAGGUGUGCAGAGCUAUAUGCCAAGUUUAGUAAAUGCGAGUUUUGGCUUGAUAGUGUUGGAUUUUUGGGCCAUGUUAUUUCAGCUGAAGGUGUUAGUGUGGAUCCUCAAAAGGUGGAAGCGGUGACUAAUUGGAGUAGGCCUAAUAGUGUAACAGAGAUUUGUAGUUUCUUGGGUCUAGCAGGCUAUUAUCGUCGUUUUGUACGAGAUUUCUCUAAGAUCGCCGCUCCACUUACAAGAUUGAUGAGGAAAGGAGUUAAGUUUGAGUGGUCUGAGAAAUGUGAGCAGAGUUUUCAGGAACUCAAGAAUCGGUUAACUAGUGCUCCUGUUUUGGCUUUGCCUGAUAAUAGUGGAGAAUAUGUGAUAUAUUGUGAUGCAUCAAGAGUGGGUUUGGGUGGUGUGCUUAUGCAGCAUGAAAAUGUAAUUGCCUAUGCUUCUAGGCAACUUAAGCCGCAUGAGUUGAAUUAUCCAACCCAUGAUUUAGAGCUUGCCGCGGUGGUCUUUGCAUUGAAGUUAUGGAGACACUAUCUUUAUGGAGCUAAGUGUCAGAUCUUUACGGAUCACAAAAGUCUCCGAUAUAUUUUUACGCAAACAGAAUUGAAUUUGAGGCAAAGGAGGUGGAUGGAGUUGAUUAAAGAUUAUGAUUGCACUAUUGAGUACCAUCCUGGAAGAGCGAAUGUGGUGGCAGAUGCUCUUAGUCGGAAGCCUACCUGUAGCUUGUCCUAUGUGAGGACAGUUCGACUUCCUCUUCUUUAUGAACUUCGAGCUACAGGAGUUGAUUUGUCUAUGGAUAGAGUUGGUACUUUGGUUGCUAGUUUCCAUGUGAGACCGAUUCUGAUUGACAGAGUGCGAGAGGCACAAUAUCAAGACCCUUCCAUUGUCUGCUUGAUUGAAAGAACACGUGGUGGCACCACGGUGGGAUUCUCGAUUGGAAAAGAUGGGGUAUUAUUAUUUAAAAAUAUACUUUGUGUGCCGAAAAGGAAUGAAGUGCUGAAGCAAGAGAUUUUGGAGGAAGCUCAUAGUUCUCCUUAUGCGAUGCAUCCUGGCAGUACUAAGAUGUAUUGGACUUUGAGGGAAUUUUAUUGGUGGCCAAAUAUGAAGAGAGAGAUUGCGGCUUUUGUGAGUAGAUGCUUGGUUUGCCAGCAGGUGAAAGCUGAAAGGCAGAAACCAGCAGGGUUGCAACAACCCCUGGAGAUUCCAGUGUGGAAAUGGGAUCAUAUCACUAUGGACUUUGUUUAUGGUCUACCUCGCUCUCGAGAUGGUCAUGAUGGUAUUUGGGUGAUUGUUGAUCGACUCACCAAAUCAGCACACUUCCUACCGGUUAAUAAAACCGAUAAAUUGGAGCAAUUGGCGGGAUUGUAUGUAAAUGAGAUUGUUAGACUUCAUGGGGUGCCAGAAUCUAUAGUAUCUGAUCGGGAUCCCCGUUUUGUGUCAAAGUUUUGGAAAGGGUUGCAGGCGGCUUUGGGGACUCGAUUAUGUUUUAGCACUGCCUUUCAUCCACAAACCGAUGGGCAAUCCGAGAGAACUAUUCAGACCUUAGAAGAUAUGUUGAGGUCUUGUGUGAUGCAAUUUAGAGGGAGUUGGGAUAAGAAAUUGGUUUUGAUGGAAUUUGCCUAUAAUAACAGUUUUCAUUCUAGUAUUGGUAUGACACCAUUUGAGGCCUUAUAUGGGAGGCAAUGUCGUACACCCUUAUGCUGGAAUGAAGUGGGAGAAAGAGAAUUUGCUGCUCUAGAAAUUGUAUUCCAUACUAAUGAGAACAUCAAGGUAAUCAGAGAUAGAAUCAAGGCAGCUCAGAGUAGGCAGAAAAGUUAUGCAGAUAACCGCAGAAGGGACCUUGAAUUUCAGGUUGGCGAUUGGGUAUUCCUGAAGUUAUCCCCAUGGAAGGGUGUGAUUCGGUUUGGGAAACGUGGAAAACUUAGCCUAAGGUACAUCGGUCCUUAUGAAAUUACGGAGCGGGUUGGCCCAAUAGCUUAUCGUUUGAGAUUAUCUCCAGAGUUAUCCAGGAUGAUGUUUUCCAUGUGUCUAUGCUCCGUAAGUAUGUAGCCGAUCCUUCUCAUGUCUUGCAAGAGCAACCCAUUAGUUUAAAGAAGGAUUUGACCUACGAAGAAGAACCGGUUCAGAUCUUAGAUCAAAAAGAGAAAGUGCUAAGAAAUAAGACAGUUCGACUUGUUAAAGUCCUCUGGAGAAGUCAUCAGGUUGAGGAGGCUACUUGGGAACCUGAGGAUCAGAUGAGACAUCAGUAUCCCCACCUCUUUUUUUGACAGGUAUGGAAAUUUCGAGGACGAAAUUUUUAUAAGGAGGGGAGAAUUGAUACACCCCGAACCUAGUAAUUAUUUUUUAUAUUGUGAUUUCCGGUUUAGUGGUAGCUAAUCAAUUCGGAAAUUUAUUCCGGUUAUUUUUGAUAGAGGUGGUUUAUUCGAGUUCAUGGAUUUUUUUUUAGUUACCCGAAUAUGAGUUUGUAAUUAGAGGGUAGCUAAAAUAAUAAUAGAGUCCAUUUUUGGGCUAGGUUUUUAAGUGGGACUUGUCUUAUUUGAUAGAGAAAGAAAAACAGAAAAGUUAGCCUCUCAUCUCUCUCUCCCCGACCUCCCGAGGCCGUCCGACUCUCCUCAACGGAAAGCCGUUGUCCGGCCACGCCUAGUCGCCGCGCCAGUCUCGUACGGCAGCUGGGACACUGCUCGUCCUUCCUAGGGUGGUGGCCGUCCUCCUCUCUCCGGUAGCAGCUCACGGGAGCGCUCUCAAGCCGCCGGUUUUGUGGAGCCGAAACUGUUUUCUCCGGCCACCGAUUCCAAUGAUCCGUUGGGGGGUUUUGUAGCCCUUCUCUAGACCAUUCAACCAUUUUAAGGUGAUAGAACAAUUCGGGGUGUAUAGAGCAAAUCGGUUUUAGUGUGUCCUUGAGCUUUGGAGGUAUUUCCGGCCAACUCUUUAGUUUCUGGGUUUAAUACUAGUUAUGUUUGUUGUUGUGCGUAUGGAGAGGAAGAGUUUGGCUUAUGCCUUAUUAAUUUUGGUUGAAGUUGAUUAAGGUGGUGGUGGUUGACCGCCGCUGCCAGCGGUUGACUGCUGCCGGUUUUGGUGGUGGUUUUGAGUAAUUUUGGAUUAUUUCUAGAAGGGAUAAAUGUUGUUGUAUUGUAUGGUGAUUUUUAGUGAAGAGUGCUUGGAAAUUGGGAUAGUUUUGAUGGCUCCAUGGGUGAGAGAUGAGUGGUAUUGAAGUAUUGGAAAUUUUGGUGAGUGUUAGUAGGAAUUUAGGAAAGUUUAAGUUGAUUUUGGUGAAAGAGUAGAGGUGAGCCUCAUCCUUGGGAAUUUCCAUAUUUGUGCUCAAGUGUUAGAACGUUGAGGAAAAAUUGGAGACGGUUAGUAAAAAUGGUUGGAGUUCUCUUUAGNNNNNNNNNNNNNNNNNNNNUCGGACCUUAAAUCUCGUUUUGUACAGGACGAGAGGAGACACCACGUGAGGAGGGCUCUGACCGACGUCAGGCUUAGCCGUCAAUAUUGUGAGUGGAUAUUUUAUUUUAUUUUUAAAAGGGAUAUGCAUGCAUGGUUUGUUUAGAAAAUUAUUCCCUCUAUGAAAUGAUCUUAAGAACAUGAUUUGAGUUAUUUUCUUUAAAGCAUGUUAACGUGUGAGACACGUUGAAUUUAAGUAAUCAUCUUGCUCUUGGAAUAAUUAUGAUAUCAAGCUAGCAUGUUGUUCCACAUUUCGAGGUGAUAUGGCUACUACGUUUCAAGUGGGGUCAUGCAAGCCCUUUCCACCCUAGUAGUGAUGUGAUGUUGCCGGUGGCAUCACGCAAGCCUUGUGCCCUAUCCGUCAACUCGACGUGAAGGUACAGGGAGUAUGGGAGUACUAUGCCUGGGAGGCAACCGAGUCUGGGAGACUCACUUAUAUGGCCAUAUAAGUUAAUUUAUUGAGUUGUUAAUUUGACUAGUGGGGUUAGUCCACUAUUUUAGAAAGUGUCGUAUGUGAGGAAUUUAAUUAUUUUUCUUAUUAAAUUAUGACUAGCGGGGCUAGCGUGAAUUUUUGAUGAGCUCAUAAAAUUUGCAUGCAUGGUAAUUCUUAAAAAACGUAUAAGUGGAAAAGCAUAUAAAAAUUUGAUUUAGUAUCUUUAUGUUCUUAGAUACUUAUUAAUUAGUUUAUUUUUCGUCCACUCACGCUAACGUUUGUUUUUAAAUACUUUACCCUGGGCUUUUUGUUUUCAACUGCCCAAACUGCAGAGCUCCUGUUCGGUCUCCCUAGGAGUUGAGGCAUAGUUUUCCCGCUACUCCUUGCUGAUCAUAGGUUACAUGUUAACCUAUGCGUAGUUGUUUUAUUUUCCUUCCUUAGUGCUCUGAGAACCAUGAGAUUAUGUAAAUUAAGUGGAAGUGUUUGCUUUAGGUCUAUGACUUAAAGUAGAGAGUUUAAGUUUGGGUGAUGUGCAUGUUAAUUAAUACAGUUGGAUACUUGAUUUGGUUGUUUAAGUAUUGAUAUAACUUGGUUCUUGUUGUGGGGAGUGAAGGACUCCAGGAGUGGUGAUUGUUGAUUAUAGUUGAAGUGUUCUUGAUUCUUUUCUCGCAGGUUGGGUUGUCCAUUUUUAGGGGAGAUUAUGCCAAAAUUUCGGUAUAAUCUCUUUUAAGAGUGGACCCCGCAAGACUUGCCUGUUUUACUGUGUGUUUUUGGGGCGGGUCUUGUCAUUUUCUGUAUUUGAUUUGGCACUUACUCAAUGAUUCAGUUUUGUUAGUAAUUUGAACCGUGGAGACACCAAGGGUUAACUUGUUAAAUUGUUAUAGCUUAGUUGUCUGCUAAAUGGUUAUAGCUUAGUUGUCUUUAUGAAAAUAUUGUAAUUUGUUCUUUAAUAUUUUUUUGUAUUUGAUUUCGCACUUACUCAAUGAUUUAGAUCCCUUUAGUAGUUUGAAUCGUGGACACCAAGGAUUAAGGCUUGCCAAAUGGUUAUAGCUUGCUUAGUUCUCUUUCCACACUAUAUGAAAACAAGAUUGUAAAUAAAAUUGAGGCUAACCGCAUGCGACCCUUUCAAAUAACUUCUUUUGCCGAAGAUUUGAAUGUUUUUUUUAAUACUUUUUGAAUGUUACUAAGAACGAUUAUUAUAUGUCAAAUGAUACAAUAGGGCAUUGAUAAAUAAAUGUAGUUAACUAAUGUUAAAAGGGAAAAAAACGCACGCGCGAGCGUGGUCAUUUCGGAAGGCUAGUAAUAAAUAAAAUCAUUAAAUAUGAAAUUCUUUUUUUUUUUUGGAAUUUUUAUUUUCUCACAAAUAAUUAAAUAUAAUCGAAUAGGUCUAGUAUAUAUUGAUGGAUUUAUAUUAUUGAGUUUGAGAGGCUCGAUAUUUAAAAGAUGAAAGUUUUAUCGUUUGAGGCAUGCAUUCGAUUUGUUUGGAAAUUUAAUUUGGGAAAGCAUUAAUUAUUUUUGUUAAAUUUAUUUUUGUCCACUCACUCUAACGUUUGCAAAUGUUUUCCCUUAGGCCCUUCGUUUUAAAAAUGCCCAGUAUACAGGUUAGCAUAGUUGAGGUCGAGCGUACAUGGAAAAGAGGCAUAGUCAAUAGUAUAGCGUCCGCUCAUUUUUAUAUUCCUAGUUCCUUUCCUCUCAGAUAGAGUUGCUCUGAACUGUGGUUGUUGGUUGUGAGAUUUUCUUUUUAAAGUUAGUAAAUAAAUUGGGAGAUGUUGUGAUUUGGGGAGCACGAAGGCUCCAGGAGUUUAAGGUUGGAUUUGGAUUUUCAGAAGUAUAUGCAGGUUUUAUUAGGAAGGGUUGUCCAUUUUUAAGGGAGGUUAUACUGAAUUUUCGAUAAAUUUUCCUUAAAGGUGGUCCCCGCAGGAUUUACUUCCGGUUUCAGGGUGAAAUUCGGGAUGGGUCUUGACAACAACAAUAAAACUCAUUUCAAAUAUUGGAUAAAUGAAUCAAAUUUCGGUAGCAUACUCAAACGCAUGAUCAUUACAAGAUAAAUGAAGUUAGCAUACUUUGUUUCUUUCUUAAGAGGAAUGUAGGCAUUCACAAGAGACUUAGAAUUUGGUCUCUUACAAUGAUCAAACUGCAAGAGAUCAGCCAUAAACAGGCACAACAUCAACAACCAAAACCUAUGAGCACAAUCUAGAGAGGCAACAUAUAUCUUCAUGAACCGUACUUAUAACUAAUUUCCAUAGAAUACCAUGAUAGAAUACCCAAGGCUAAGUAACCCUAAAGUGGCAAUAUCAUCCAGAUCUCUUAGUCCAUUUAAGCUAAUGAUACCAAUAGGUAACUGUGCAUGAUAUCACUAAUGCAAAAAUCAGAAAAAUAACUAGAUUGAAGGCAGAAAUGCAAUAAACCCACUUACCAACUGGUCCUCCAAUGCUAAUAGUUAAAGCUCUUUCCUUCAAAUCCCUAGAUUGGAGUGAUGAAGCUAUUAUGCUGAAGAAACCAGGAGAGUAGAUUAAAACGAGAUUGGGGAGGUCAUUGACACAACUAGUCAACUCUAGCAUCUUGUGUAACAUAAGAAAACUGAAACAUUACUCAUGAACUAUGUGCAGACUGAAAUAUUGCUCACUCAUCUUAGUAUAAUAAUUUAGUAUUAUAAAUAUGUGUAACAAACUAUUUGAUAUUCUGAGACAAGACUAUUAUAUGAAUAGUAUAUGUAACUAAGCCAAUUCAUAAGUACACUGAUGCUCAUCUCCCAUACAAGCUUAAAAGUUAAAACCCAAUAUCCAAACACUCCAUUCUUUAUGCAUGCACUCCAUCACUGUACCACUGCCAAAACCACCCUACAGUUGCAUAAUAGCGAGCAUGCAUAAAAAACAAAGCAAAUGAGCAGUAUAUGCAAAGCCGAAAUGUGCUCAAUUGAACUAGUGGCCUUCCUAAUCAACAAUUUAUUACAAGACUACUAGGU
rnacentral:lncRNA from 1 species